rnacentral:lncRNA from 12 species
CUGAGGAUUUGUGAUAAAACCAUAGUUACAACAAAGCUGUUGGGAUGAACGUUUUAAUUCAUGCUUGCGGGUAUAAAGUCAUAGCUUAUCACGCUGGCCAGGCGGACUUAUUGAGUAUUCCUGUUUCUGAACUCUUUUCAUUGACAUUUUUAAAGCUAUUCCAACAUGAUGAUAGAGUUUCUUCUUCUGCUAUCUAUGACAUGCUUAAGCAGUGAGAAGAACUCUUGAGGAUGGAUGACUGAUAUACAUCAGUUCACAUCAAACAAUUUGAGAAGGAAAGAAACCAGAUGAAAUAUCUUAAACAAUGGAAUAAAGAAACUUGCACAAACACAUAGAAAUGAGAUUUUUUUUUUUUAACAGCUCUGAUUGUUGCCCAAGAAUGUAUUAAAAUUCUGAAAGAGAAGGCAAACUUCUAAAUUCUUUGAAUACUUCAUCCUCCUCAGGAAUGAUAACACCUGGAGAAAGAAUUUUCUUUCAUUCCAAAAAAGACAUCUAUCCGUUCAAUGCUUGAGCAUUAAAACUUGAUGAGGUGUCAGGCUUUCACUGGGCACCAGGGCGAGAACAGUGAAUAAACGCAGUCCUCAAGGAGCUUACACUUUAACUACAAUGAAAAGCAAUGCGGUUGAUCUCAAUGAAAAAUGGUGUAGUACAACCAUCCAUCAAACUAUCAAUCAGUGGCUUUCCCUGAUGAGUAAAAUAUUCUCCAUAGAUAAAUUCAUUUUGUACUCCUGCCAAAUUCAACUUGGACCAAAAUAUCUAUGUGAGUGUGUUACCUAUCAAUCAGUAUUUUGUGGACAUCCUAAUCAGAGCUGUGUCUUUUUUUGUGUUGAGAAAUGUUUUUAAAAGCACGGCUUUUAAAUGACUUUUAAAAUGUUUGGUAUUUGAAAAUGUCAGGUUUUUAAGCAAAUUUUUCUCAGGAAUGAAGUGCUAGGAAUCCCUGUUGAAGUGGAAUAUUUCUACUGGGCUAUUCACAGAACUACCACUGUUCCCAUAGUAACUUGUUCUUAGAUGAACAAUGAAGCAGAGGGACUGGUGUGUGUAUUGAAAAUCUGACCCAGUGAUAUUUGAUAAAUACUCACUCAUAUCUGGGAGGAGACAGUGGAAGAGCAGGGUUUUAUCA